rnacentral:rRNA from 1 species
UGGGGAAUAUUGGACAAUGGGCGAAAGCCUGAUCCAGCCAUGCCGCGUGUGUGAAGACGGUCUUCGGAUUGUAAAGCACUUUAAGUUGGGAGGAAGGGCAGUAAGCGAAUACCUUGCUGUUUUGACGUUACCGACAGAAUAAGCACCGGCUAACUCUGUGCCAGCAGCCGCGGUAAUACAGCGGGUGCAAGCGUUAAUCGGAAUUACUGGGCGUAAAGCGCGCGUAGGUGGUUCGUUAAGUUGAAUGUGAAGGCCCCGGGCUCAACCUGGGAACUGCAUCCAAAACUGACGAUCUAGAGUAGGGCAGAGGGUGGUGGAAUUUCCUGUGUAGCGGUGAAAUGCGUAGAUAUAGGAAGGAACACCAGUGGCGAAGGCGACCACCUGAGCUCAUACUGACACUGAGGUGCGAAAGCGUGGGGAGCAAACAGG